rnacentral:lncRNA from 1 species
GGCCUCCCAAAGUGCUGGGAUUACAGGUGUGAGCCACUGCACCCAGCCUGUUUUUUAUUUAUAUAUCAUUUAUCAGGUCCAUUUUGGGUGAAUGGCCAUAGAAACUUCCAUUAUGGAAAAACACUUUCAAGUACAAGGUCAAUAUAUAUGCUGGAAUGGUUAUUACUUCUAUUUAUAUUCUCAGUAGAAAUUUUUAAACUGCUGGCAUGAAAUGACCCCAUACCACACAUAUGCGUGUGCACGUUCACGUGCACACACACACACACACGCUUCCCUUGUGACUUCAGCUCUGGCCACUGGAUAACUCGCUGAGGCAAAAUGGCUUCAGUGAAAAUGUGUUGAUAAGGGCUGUCCCCAGUGGUCUCAGGGCAUCCCCACCAAAGCUAACCCAAAGACUGUCUCCAGCUGAGAUGCUGGGGUCAGUGACCUCCAUCUGUCAUUCUUCUUUCAUCUAUCCUCCCAAGGCAAAUUCUUCCAAACUAAAAUCUCUUUUCAUUCUGGUGAAAAACCCCUCUGAGCCAGCAGUGGCUCCAAGCACUGGGGAGACUGACCAUGCAGUAAACAUUCGGUGCUGAAGGAACAGGGCCAGGGCCAUUCUUGGUGUAGGCAUUUGUCAGGAUCUGGGGCAUUUGGGCUCUGGGGAUCAGGGAACAGGAGGGACUAUAACUAAGGGGGCAGUGUCUUGGGCUGGAUAGAAGGGUGGGUGGCUUCAGAGCCUUAGCUCCUGAUUGGAGUUUUAAGGAAGGUUGUGGCUGAAGGGCUGGAUCACUGGCACGUAGGCAUAGCUAACAUGACAGGGAUGUGAAUAAAUGCCCUUCAAUCUGGCAUCAGGGAAGGUGAGCAUGUGGCCAGUGGCUCUCAUCACAGACAAUGGAAGACUUAGGAAGAGGUGAGGUUGAAGACCGUAAUAUCCCUGUCCCAUAGGACAGUAGCCUAGAAUAAAUACGCAGAGUAAUUCCUCCAUGUCUCCGAAGAGGUUGAAUGCCUUGGGGUUCUCCUCAAAGUAUCAGUGAAUGAGGUACAUAGCCAGGUAUGCAGCUUUGUAGAGAAGCAGUUUAUUAAAACAAAAGACCAUAAAAUACAAAGGACCACUGUGCAGAAAGUAAAGCAUAAACCAACUAUCUCAUGAUCAAUGAAGGAAAGCAACUCUUUUUCCUCCAUUCCAUAUCAGGAAAGUGGAACAUCUGUUAUUGAUUUCUGCCAUCUUCACACUUAUGGAGAAAGGAAAGGAAUUCAAGAGAGCACUCUUAUGGCAGGCGCUCACGGCUAGAUACGAAUUUUGGAAGUCCAGAAGGCAGAGUGUUAUGGACUAAAUUGUGUCCCUCCCCACCCAAAUUCAUAUGUUGAAUCCCUAAUCCCCAGUGUGACUGUUUUUGCAUACAGGACAUUUAAAGUUGUAAUUAAGGUUAAAACAAGGUCUUUAGGGUGUUGCCCUAAUCCAGUAUCACUGGUGUCCUUUUAAUGAGAGACACCAGGAAAGUGUGUGUACAAAGAAUAAGCUAUGAGACACCACAGAGGGAAGGCAGCCAUCUGCAGGCCAAGGAGAGAGGCCUUAGUAGAAACCAAACCUGCCAACACCUCAUUCUAGGACUUCCAGUUUCCUGAACUGUGAGAAGAUAAAUAUUCUAUUGCUUAAGGCACCCAGUCUGGUGUUUUCUUAUGUCAGCCCUAGCAAAUUAAUACAGAUUUUGGUACUGUGAUUGGGAUGCUUUGUAACCUAAAAUGUGGAAGUGACUUGGAACUGGGUACUCGGUAGAAAGAAGCUACAAGAGUUCUGAGGCACAUGUUAGGAAAAGCCUGGAUGACCUUUAAAACACUGUUGGUAGGAAUGUAGAUGUUAAAAGGUUCUGGGCUGGGUGUGGUGGCUCACACUUUGAGAGGGCAAAGCAGGAGGAUCAUUUGAGGCCAGGUGUAUGAGACCAGCCUAAGCAACAUAGCAAAAACCCGUAUCUACAAAAUGUUUGGGGUUUUUUUUUGUUUUGUUUUGUUUUGUUUUUAAUUUUAAGGUGAUUGUGGUUAAGUCUCAGACAGAAAUGAGGAAUGGGUAAUGGGAAACUGGAAUCCUUGCAAAGGACUUGCCCAAAUUGCGUUCUAGUGUUUUGUGGAGUACAGAAAUUGUGAGUGAGGCAGUGCAGAAUAUUCAGGUGAUAUUUCUACACAAAGUGAUGCAAGUGGAGUCUGUUUUCUCCUUGCUGCUUAUAGUAAAAUAUUAGAGGAGAAAGAUAAAUUGAAGGAACUGUUAAGCAAAAAAGAACCAGUACUUAAAGAUUUGGAAAAUUCUCAGCCUGUCCGCAUUGCAAAAAAUGAGAAAGUAUGUUCUUGAAAGAACACUAGGGUGUGGCUGGACAACCAUGUGAUAAAGAGAUUAGUAUAGGUCUGAAUGGAACCAAUUAACCAUCUCACCAGAAAUGCUGCCAGCUUGAACUGAAUAGAGAAAGAGACAGGACAAAAAUGAAGGCAGGCUGUUAGACUUCUGGGAUUCUACGGGAAGGUACAAUAGAGCUAUCCAGUUGCAAACGCACGUUAAUCUUCAAGAAAAGGGAAGAAUGUGAUUCUCAAAGGUUCUAAUGGGCCCAGAGAGUACAGGUCUAGAGGGCAAGUGUGUCUCCUCCUCAAUUUCAGUGGGCCAGGAGCCGCUGCCAAGGGCCAAGGGAGCGACACUGCAGCUCCCGUGAGCCUAAAAAGCAGGGCUGCCAAUCCAGUUGGCCCAGAAGGCAGAGCACUGAGCCAAAGGGGAUUAUUCUCGAGACUUAAAAUCUAAUGGAAGUUGCCUUGCCAGGUUUGAGACUUGCUUGGGAUCCAUCAUUCUUCAUUUCUUUCUCAUGUCUUUCCUUUGGAAUGGGGAAGUCCAGCCUCUGCUUGUCCCACCAUUGUAGAAUAUUGUGGAAGCAGAUAUCUGUCUGGUUUCACAGGAUCACACCUGGAGAAUUUUGCCUAAGGAUGAAUUGUACCUAAAGUCUCAUUCACACUUGAUUUAGAUGAUAUUUAAAUGAGAUUUUGGAUCUAGAGGUGAAGUUGAAAUGGGUAAAGAAUUUUGGGACUGUUGGGAUCAUGUGAAUGUAUUUUGAAUGUCUGAGGGACCUGAACUUUGGUAGUGGAGUGUUAUAGACUAAAUUGGGUUUCCCAGAAAUUCAUAUGUUGAAGUCCUAACUGUGUAGUGUGACUGUAUCUAGAGAUAAGGCCUUUAGGAAGGUUAUUAAGGUUAAACGAGGCCAUGUGGCUGUGGCUCUAUCCAAAAUGACUGGUGUCCCUAGAAGAGGAGGAAGCCACACCAGGAAAGCAUACACACAGAAAAAAGCCCACGUGAGGACGUGGCCAGAAAGCAGCCAUCCGCAAGCCAAACAGAGAGGCUUAAGCAGCAGCCAAACCUACCAAUACGUUCAUCUGGGACUUCCAGCCUCCAUAAAUAUGAAAAUAUAUUUCCGUUGUCAAAAUCACCCAGCCUGGGGUACUUUGUUAUGGAACCCCUAGCAAGCCAAGACAAAUUGUGAAUAUAGAAAGUAAACCAAAAAUCAACUAUCUCAUGAUCGAUGAAAGAAAGCAACAUUUUUUUUUUUCCAUUCCAUUUCAGGAAACUGAAGCAUUUACUAGUGAUUUCUGCCAGCUUCACACUCACGGG